AUGCAGAAUAAAAAAUUUUUUUCCGAGGAUUUCUACACACUCGCCAGAGAAGCCGUUGGAAUGUUGGACACUUCAGACGCUGGCCACCAAAAACAGUGUGAACCUCGGUGCUAAGGGCUUGAAUGCCACUGGGUUGUAGUGCCACCAACAGCAAGGGGAUCGCGUCGUGAUGGAAGAAGGGGAUGCGCGUGAUCACGUGUGAUGCAGCAGCAAUACUGGCACGAGGGGGACAGAAAAUAAAGAAAACAUUGGUUGUGUGAAAA